rnacentral:rRNA from 1 species
GAUGAACGCUAGCUACAGGCUUAACACAUGCAAGUCGCGGGGCAGCAUGGGGGUUGCUUGCAAUCCCCGAUGGCGACCGGCGCACGGGUGAGUAACGCGUAUCCAACCUGCCCUUCACCACGGGAUAACCCGGCGAAAGUCGGACUAAUACCGUAUGUUGUCCAUUGACGGCAUCCGAUUUGGACGAAAGGCUUGGCGGUGAGGGAUGGGGAUGCGUCCGAUUAGCCAGACGGCGGGGUAACGGCCCACCGUGGCUACGAUCGGUAGGGGUUCUGAGAGGAAGGUCUCCCACACUGGAACUGAGACACGGUCCAGACUCCUACGGGAGGCAGCAGUGAGGAAUAUUGGUCAAUGGGCGUAAGCCUGAACCAGCCAAGUAGCGUGCAGGAUGACGGCCCUAUGGGUUGUAAACUGCUUUUAUGCGGGGAUAAAGUGGCCCACGUGUGGGCUUUUGCAGGUACCGCAUGAAUAAGGACCGGCUAAUUCCGUG